CGGACCUUUCCAAAACCAUAUCAACCAUCCCCCUAGGUCAUAAAAUAAUAAAAGCACAUACAUAAAGUCUUAAAUUGGGGAGGAGAGAUCUAGUGCUGUAUUUUGUCCGGGCCCGGGCCUAAACGGGCUUCGCGGCCGGGCUUCGCGGGCCGGGCUUCGUGGGCCUGGGUUUCGCGGGCCUGGGCUCUGGCGGUCCCGGGCUUCGUGGGCUCAAUGGGUGAGACCAGCCCGUG
rnacentral:lncRNA from 1 species